rnacentral:rRNA from 1 species
GAUGAACGCUGGCGGCGUGCCUAAUACAUGCAAGUAGAACGCUGAAGGAAGGAGCUUGCUCUUUCCGGAUGAGUUGCGAACGGGUGAGUAACGCGUAGGUAACCUGCCUGGUAGCGGGGGAUAACUAUUGGAAACGAUAGCUAAUACCGCAUAACAGUAGAUGUUGCAUGAUAUCUACUUAAAAGGUGCAAUUGCACCACUACCAGAUGGACCUGCGUUGUAUUAGCUAGCUGGUGAGGUAACGGCUCACCAAGGCGACGAAGCAUAGCCGACCUGAGAGGGGGAACCGCCCCACUGGGACUUGAGCACGGGCCCGGACCCUGCGGGAGGGAGGCGGAGGGGAUUCUUGGGCAAGGGAGGAAGGCCGAACGUGGAACGACGGGGGAAUGGAGGAGGUUGUCGGGUCGUGAAGCUCUGUUGUAAGAGAAGAACGAGUGUGAGAGUGAAAAGUUCACACUGUGACGGUAUCUUACCAGAAAGCGACGGCUAACUACGUG